AUUUUAUUAGUAUAAUAAAGUAUGUUUGUUUUCCAAACAAAUGGUUUAAAUAUAAUUUAAAUAAAAUA
rnacentral:tRNA from 1 species